AACCGGAUUAGAUACCCUGGUAGUCCAUGCCGUAAACGAUGAGUGCUAAGUGUUGGAGGGUUUCCGCCCUUCAGUGCUGCAGCUAACGCAUUAAGCACUCCGCCUGGGGAGUACGACCGCAAGGUUGAAACUCAAAGGAAUUGACGGGGGCCCGCACAAGCGGUGGAGCAUGUGGUUUAAUUCGAUGCUACGCGAAGAACCUUACCAGGUCUUGACAUCUUCUGCCAACCUAAGAGAUUAGGCGUUCCCUUCGGGGACAGAAUGACAGGUGGUGCAUGGUUGUCGUCAGCUCGUGUCGUGAGAUGUUGGGUUAAGUCCCGCAACGAGCGCAACCCUUAUUGUUAGUUGCCAGCAUUUAGUUGGGCACUCUAGCAAGACUGCCGGUGACAAACCGGAGGAAGGUGGGGAUGACGUCAAAUCAUCAUGCCCCUUAUGACCUGGGCUACACACGUGCUACAAUGGACGGUACAACGAGUCGCGAAACCGCGAGGUCAAGCUAAUCUCUUAAAGCCGUUCUCAGUUCGGAUUGUAGGCUGCAACUCGCCUACAUGAAGUUGGAAUCGCUAGUAAUCGUGGAUCAGCAUGCCACGGUGAAUACGUUCCCGGGCCUUGUACACACCGCCCGUCACACCAUGAGAGUUUGUAACACCCAAAGCCGGUGANGUAACCUUCGGGAACCAACCGUCUAANGNGGGACAGAUGAUUAGGGUGAAGUCGUAACAA
rnacentral:rRNA from 1 species